GACGAACGCUGGCGGCGUGCUUAACACAUGCAAGUCGAACGGAAAGGCCCUGCUUUUGUGGGGUGCUCGAGUGGCGAACGGGUGAGUAACACGUGAGUAACCUGCCCUUGACUUUGGGAUAACUUCAGGAAACUGGGGCUAAUACCGGAUAGGAGCUCCUGCUGCAUGGUGGGGGUUGGAAAGUUUCGGCGGUUGGGGAUGGACUCGCGGCUUAUCAGCUUGUUGGUGGGGUAGUGGCUGACCAAGGCUUUGACGGGUAGCCGGCCUGAGAGGGUGACCGGCCACGUUGGGACUGAGAUACGGCCCAGACUCCUACGGUACGCAGCGGUGGGGAAUAUUGCACAAUGGGCGGAAGCCUGAUGCAGCAACGCCGCGUGCGGGAUGACGGCCAUCGGGUUGUAAACCGCAUUCGCCUGUGACGAAGCGUGAGUGACGGUAAUGGGUAAAGAAGCACCGGCUAACUACGUG
rnacentral:rRNA from 1 species